rnacentral:misc_RNA from 1 species
UGUCGAUGCGCGAAUGCCGUGCCAGAAGAUCCAGCAUAUGAUCGAAGAAUCCGAUGCCGGUCGCGACAUUGGAUAUGCCGGUCCCGUCCAGAUUGACCGACACCAUGAUGUCGGUUUCCUUGGUCUUGCNNNNNNNNNUGAAAAGUGCUCUCCAGAAGCCGGAAGUCGCGCCCUUUUAACAGGCACAUGACGCCUUCGCUACUGCGGGAUGACGCGAUUUUUGCCUGAGUUUUCAGAUA